UUCAUGGAGAGUUUGAUCCUGGCUCAGAACAAACGCUGGCGGCGCGCUUAACACAUGCAAGUCGAACGGUCCCGAUAGAGCCGUAAGGCGAUAUCGGGGUAGUGGCAAACGGGUGAGUAACACGUGGAUAAUCUGCCCUUGAGUGGGGGGUAACUCUGCGAAAGUGGAGCUAAUACCGCGUAAGACUACAGAAUUGCAUGAUUCAGUAGUAAAAGGUUCCCCGAUUUUCGGGGAGUCGCUCAAGGAUGAGUCCGCGCCUGAUUAGCUAGUUGGUGGGGUAAUAGCCUACCAAGGCAACGAUCAGUAGCCGACCUGAAAGGGUGUUCGGCCACACUGG
rnacentral:rRNA from 1 species